AAAAAAAAAGCAAAGACAUGUGUUGACUUCAAACGUUUCAUCCACAAUUUGAUUUUGAACAUUCAAAUGCAAAACCCAAAUCAACUUAGUUAAAUAGUUUUCUAGACUCAAAUCUUGACCACUUAAUCACUAAUCAUUAGUCUAAUCAUGACUCAAAUCAACUUUGUAGCUUUGACUCAAAUUUUGACCACUUAGUCUUCUUUAAUUUAACUAAAAUUCUGACCAUUAACAUAUCACAACAAAGAAGUAUAGAGAUACAUACCCGAGCAGAGACGCAUUCAGCUAAAGCCGUAGGAACAGUAUACAUAAGACUAGUAGUCUGAAUCAAAAUUCCAGUGGCAGCCACAACAAGCUUAGGAUUCUCCAAGUAUCCACCCAUCACAAUCACAAUCUCAUACCACCACCACUCCAAACAUAUCCCCAAACAACUCCAACAUAGAUGACAAUUGAGCCACCACCGUAGUAGACCCACCAUCACCAUCACCACUCACUCUCUUCCGCAACAUCCCACUCAUCCAAACAUAACCAACCAAAAGCACAACCAUGAUCAAAUUCGUCACAACAGAUGCAAUAGCCACACCAAGAACACCCCAAUGCUUCACCAUCACAAGCCAAUAAUUCAACGGCACAUGGAACACCAUAGCUACUAAAGUACACCACAUCAUUGGUUUAGUCACUCGCUAGGACCUUAGAUAAACUCGUAACGGCUGAAGCAGAGUAUUGGUAAAAAAAAUAGGAAGUGCAUAAAGACAGUACUCAGCGGCUGUAGCCGUUAUCUCCGGGUUUUGACCCACGAAGAGCAUGAUGGGUCCAAGGUUAAUCCAAAGGACAUUCUCAUGACCAUAAAGUCUCUCAUUAGAAAAGUUGAUGAACAUCAUUAAUGACAUAUAUUUCUUAAUUCAUAUUCAUUCGAUUAAUAUAAUAUCUUAAGAUUCCUUUUGUUUAGUUU
rnacentral:sRNA from 1 species